rnacentral:rRNA from 1 species
UAGANGGUGAUCAUGGCUCAGAUUGAACGCUGGCGGCAGGCCUAACACAUGCAAGUCGAGCGGUAAACAGGAAGAAAGCUUGCUUUCUUUGCUGACGAGCGGCGGACGGGUGAGUAAUGCCUGGGAAUAUGCCUUGAUGUGGGGGAUAACUAUUGGAAACGAUAGCUAAUACCGCAUAAUGCCUACGGGCCAAAGAGGGGGAUCUUCGGACCUCUCGCGUCAAGAUUAGCCCAGGUGGGAUUAGCUAGUUGGUGAGGUAAUGGCUCACCAAGGCGACGAUCCCUAGCUGGUCUGAGAGGAUGAUCAGCCACACUGGAACUGAGACACGGUCCAGACUCCUACGGGAGGCAGCAGUGGGGAAUAUUGCACAAUGGGCGCAAGCCUGAUGCAGCCAUGCCGCGUGUGUGAAGAAGGCCUUCGGGUUGUAAAGCACUUUCAGUCGUGAGGAAGGUAGUUGCGUUAAUAGCGUAAUUAUUUGACGUUAGCGACAGAAGAAGCACCGGCUAACUCCGUGCCAGCAGCCGCGGUAAUACGGAGGGUGCGAGCGUUAAUCGGAAUUACUGGGCGUAAAGCGCAUGCAGGUGGUUCGUUAAGUCAGAUGUGAAAGCCCGGGGCUCAACCUCGGAAUUGCAUUUGAAACUGGCGGACUAGAGUACUGUAGAGGGGGGUAGAAUUUCAGGUGUAGCGGUGAAAUGCGUAGAGAUCUGAAGGAAUACCGGUGGCGAAGGCGGCCCCCUGGACAGAUACUGACACUCAGAUGCGAAAGCGUGGGGAGCAAACAGGAUUAGAUACCCUGGUAGUCCACGCCGUAAACGAUGUCUACUUGGAGGUUGUGGCCUUGAGCCGUGGCUUUCGGAGCUAACGCGUUAAGUAGACCGCCUGGGGAGUACGGUCGCAAGAUUAAAACUCAAAUGAAUUGACGGGGGCCCGCACAAGCGGUGGAGCAUGUGGUUUAAUUCGAUGCAACGCGAAGAACCUUACCUACUCUUGACAUCUAGAGAAGCCAGUCGGAGACGCAG